rnacentral:rRNA from 1 species
GAUCAUGGCUCAGAUUAAACGCUGGCGGCAUGCCUUACACAUGCAAGUCGAACGGCAGCACGGGGGCAACCCUGGUGGCGAGUGGCGGACGGGUGAGUAAUGCAUCGGAACGUGCCCUGAAGUGGGGGAUAACGCAGCGAAAGCUACGCUAAUACCGCAUAUUCUGUGAGCAGGAAAGCAGGGGAUCGCAAGACCUUGCGCUUUGGGAGCGGCCGAUGUCGGAUUAGCUAGUUGGUGGGGUAAAGGGCCUACCAAGGCGACGAUCCGUAGCGGGUCUGAGAGGAUGAUCCGCCACACUGGGACUGAGACACGGCCCAGACUCCUACGGGAGGCAGCAGUGGGGAAUUUUGGACAAUGGGCGGAAGCCUGAUCCAGCCAUGCCGCGUGAGUGAAGAAGGCCUUCGGGUUGUAAAGCUCUUUCGGCGGGGAAGAAAUUGCUUGGGUUAAUACCCUGAGUAGAUGACGGUACCCGAAUAAGAAGCACCGGCUAACUACGUG